rnacentral:rRNA from 1 species
CCUACGGGUGGCUGCAGUGAGGAAUAUUGGUCAAUGGCCGAGAGGCUGAACCAGCCAAGUCGCGUGAGGGAAGAAGGCCCUACGGGUUGUAAACCUCUUUUGUCGGGGAGCAAAGCGAGUCACGUGUGACUCGUUGAGAGUACCCGAAGAAAAAGCAUCGGCUAACUCCGUGCCAGCAGCCGCGGUAAUACGGAGGAUGCGAGCGUUAUCCGGAUUUAUUGGGUUUAAAGGGUGCGCAGGCGGCGGUGCAAGUCAGCGGUCAAAUUGCGGGGCUCAACCCCGUACUGCCGUUGAAACUGCAUGCCUUGAGUGCGCGAGAAGUAUGCGGAAUGCGUGGUGUAGCGGUGAAAUGCAUAGAUAUCACGCAGAACUCCGAUUGCGAAGGCAGCAUACCGGCGCGCAACUGACGCUCAUGCACGAAAGCGUGGGUAUCGAACAGGAUUAGAUACCCGUGUAGUC